AGUGAACGCUGGCGGUAGGCCUAACACAUGCAAGUCGAACGGCAGCACAGUAAGAGCUUGCUCUUACGGGUGGCGAGUGGCGGACGGGUGAGGAAUACAUCGGAAUCUACUUUUUCGUGGGGGAUAACGUAGGGAAACUUACGCUAAUACCGCAUACGACCUACGGGUGAAAGCAGGGGAUCUUCGGACCUUGCGCGAUUGAAUGAGCCGAUGUCGGAUUAGCUAGUUGGCGGGGUAAUGGCCCACCAAGGCGACGAUCCGUAGCUGGUCUGAGAGGAUGAUCAGCCACACUGGAACUGGGACACGGUCCAGACUCCUACGGGAGGCAGCGGUGGGGAAUAUUGGACAAUGGGCGCAAGCCUGAUCCAGCCAUACCGCGUGGGUGAAGAAGGCCUUCGGGUUGUAAAGCCCUUUUGUUGGGAAAGAAAAGCAGCAGGUUAAUACCCCGCUGUUCUGACGGUACCCAAAGAAUAAGCACCGGCUAACUUCGUG
rnacentral:rRNA from 1 species